AUGGCCUCGGGGCGCUGCACCCAGCCGACCCUCAUCGAUCCCGUGGGAUUUCGGUGGGAUGUGGGCAAACGGUGUGAGCACAGCCCUACGGACUCUGUGAGCAGCAGGUCCGGAUCCCAGAGUCACUUUGUUUCCCUCUCCUUCUGUGCAAGUGCAAUGCCAUUAUUGUGCAGGUACAACGCUGUGCAGGUGCGGUGCAAUGCAGGCGCAGUGCUGUUCAGAUGCAGAGCCGUGCAGGUGCGAUGCUGUGCAGGUACUGCUCUGUUCAGAUGCAGUGCUGUGAAGGUGCAAUGCUUUAUAGGUGUAAUGCUAUUCAGAUGCAACGCUGUGCAGAUGCAAUGUUGUGCAGGCUUUGUGUUGUUCGGAUGCAGUGCUGUGCAGGUGCAAUGCUGUGCAGGUGCAAUGCUGUGCAGAUGCAAUGCUGUGCAGGUGCAGUGCUGUGCAGGUGCAAUGCUGUGCAGAUGCAAUGCUGUGCAGGUGCAAUGCUGUGCAGAUGCAACACUGUGCAGAUGCAACACUGUGCAGAUGCAAUGCUGUUCAGAUGCAAUUCUCUGCAGGUGCAAUGCUGUUCAGAUGCAAUGCUGUGCAGGUGCAAUGCUGUGCAGGUGCAAUGCUAUUCAGAUGCAACAUUGUGCAGAUGCAAUGCUGUGCAGAUGCAAUUUGUGCAGGUGCAAUACUGUUCAGAUGCAAUUCUCUGCAGGUGCAAUGCUGGUCAGAGGCAACACUGUGCAGAUGCAAUGCUGUGCAGAUGCAAUUCUCUGCAGGUGCAAUGCUGUUCAGAUGAAACACUGUGCAGGUGCAAUGCUAUGCAGAUGCAAUUCUGUGCAGAUGCAAUUCUCUGCAGGUGCAAUGUUGUUCAGAUGCAAUGCUGUGCAGGUGCAAUGCUAUUCAGAUGCAACAUUGUGCAGAUGCAAUGCUGUGCAGAUGCAAUUCUCUGCAGGUGCAAUGCUGUGCAGGUGCAAUGCUGGUCAGAUGCAACACUGUGCAGAUGCCAUGCUAUGCAGGUGCAAUGCUGUUCAGGAGCAAUGCUGUGCAGGUGCAACGCUGUUCAGAUGCAAUGCCCUUUGCAAAGCCCCUUUCUUGCAGAGCCCACCCUGCUGCUGCACGGCGUUGCCCGGUGACCCUGAUGCUCGGAGCACGGGAUGCACAGAAGACCCUGCAGCUCUGAUGCAUGGAGCUGCUCAUGGAAAGCCACGUCCCACCCGUGUCACACUGCCCCCUACACCAGGCCCACCUUUCCCAGGGGCGUGCACUGAUCUCAUUACAACAGGAGCUGGGAAGUGGCUGCAUUUCCACCCCGCUGCUCUCGGUUACGGCAGCGAAAGGGGAGCCAAUUACCAGCAGCUGGUGAGAGCCUCAAAUUAUUAUUAA
rnacentral:lncRNA from 1 species